GAUGAACGCUAGCGGCAGGCUUAACACAUGCAAGUCGAGGGGUAGAGUUAGCUUGCUAACUUGAGACCGGCGCACGGGUGCGUAACGCGUAUGCAAUCUACCUUGUACAGAGGGAUAACCCAGAGAAAUUUGGAUUAAUACCUCAUAGUAUUAUUGAAUGGCAUCAUUUGAUUAUUAAAGUUCCAACGGUACAAGAUGAGCAUGCGUCCCAUUAGCUAGAUGGUAAGGUAACGGCUUACCAUGGCAACGAUGGGUAGGGGUCCUGAGAGGGAGAUCCCCCACACUGGUACUGAGACACGGACCAGACUCCUACGGGAGGCAGCAGUGAGGAAUAUUGGUCAAUGGGCGCAAGCCUGAACCAGCCAUGCCGCGUGCAGGAAGACGGUCCUAUGGAUUGUAAACUGCUUUUAUACGGGAAGAAACCCUGCUACGUGUAGCAGCUUGACGGUACCGUAAGGAUAAGCAUCGGCUAACUCCGUGCCAGCAGCCGCGGUAA
rnacentral:rRNA from 1 species